GUACACAGCAAGGAAACUGAGAAUCUCAAGUUCGACAGCGCACAGAGUUUGGACAAGGCGCUCCAAUCAUGACUCACUGGCAGUCUCUCUACUGGCAUCAAAAAACUUAAGGACAGCUGCCAUCACAUACGGCAUUAGAACUGAACGUGAGGCUCGUGAGGCGUUCUGUAUAAAGCACCGCGUCCAUGUUGUACAGAUUGGAACGGUUGUGCAUCCAGCAGAAAACUGGCUCUCCUGUAGUCCCGACGGCAUCCUUAAGAUCGGAACAGCUCUUCACCUUCUGGAGAUAAAG